rnacentral:lncRNA from 1 species
CUCUUUUCACGGCGAACUUCAACGAAGACCUCACGGGUGGAUGGCAACAGUUGUCGGCCUAGAAUCUGUUACGUCAUUCAAAUCUCUGUUCAACCCUGCCAAGAAUUCAAAUACCCGUUCAUUUGCUAACCACUUUUUGUAUCGAACGCUAUCACCUAGACAAUCCCACGCAUCUUGUACAUUGAGAUCCAAUUCUUGCCAGAGUCUUCAUCUCCAUGUAAUAAUCGGUAACAUUCCUUUUUCCUUGCUUCAUUUGCCACAAUUUUGUCUUAAUCUCGAAGAUUUGGGAUGAAUCCUUAGCAUCGGAGCAUAUCUCUUUUACUGCUUUCCAUAUGUCUUUUGCAGUCGGUAUAAAAUAAGUACGUUUUACCUAUAGAAGGCUUUAUUGAAUUCACCGACUAUGCCAUCACCAUGGAAUUUUCAAAUUUCCAUUUGUUUGAAGUUUUGCGUCUGUGGGCUACUUGGUGUCUCCAGUGAGGUAUCCAAUUUUACAUUUUCC